UUGUUCCGAGCUAACUCCACCCCAUGUGACUUACCUUUGUUGCCUCGGCGGAUCGACCCUGUGGAUCCGCCGGCGGACAAACCAAAUUCUGUUAUUUUGAAAUGGUUUCUGAGCGACAUAUUUUAAUAAGUCAAAACUUUCAACAACGGAUCUCUUGGUUCUGGCAUCGAUGAAGAACGCAGCGAAAUGCGAUAAGUAAUGUGAAUUGCAGAAUUCAGUGAAUCAUCGAAUCUUUGAACGCACAUUGCGCCCAUUAGUACUCUAGUGGGCAUGCCUGUUCGAGCGUCAUUUCAACCCCUAAGCCUGGCUUAGUGUUGGGAGACUACUAUAGCGGUGUUACGUCGGGCAGCCACCCUGAAAAAACGGGCCGGUUCACCCUGUAGCUACCCUGUAGCUCCUUAAAGUUAGUGGCGGAGACGCGGAGUCCUCUGAGCGUAGUAAAUCUUCCUCGCUUUUGUAGGUUCUGUGGCUUUUGCCGUUAAAACCCCCCUUUCUUAAUGGUUGACCUCGGAUCAGGUAGGAAUACCCGCUGAACUUAAGCAUAUCAAAA
rnacentral:rRNA from 1 species